GUGUUUCAUCGUGUUACGUAUACUGAAGGUAUACCGGAUAGCAUACACUCAGGAUACAUUCAGUAUACGUAUACGAAGUUGCAC
rnacentral:pre_miRNA from 13 species